UACGGAGGGUGCAAACGUUGUUCGGAAUCACUGGGCAUAAAGCGUACGUAGGCGGCGUCGUAAGUGUCGGAUGAAAUCCCACGGCUUACCCGUGGAACGGUCCGGCAUACUGCGGUGCUAGAGGAUGGUAGAGGAGAGCGGAACUCUUGGUGGAGCGGUGAAAUGCGUAGAUAUCAAGAGGAACACCGGUGGCGAAGGCGGCUCUCUGGUCCAUGUCUGACGCUGAGGUACGAAAGCUAGGGGAGCAAACGGG
rnacentral:rRNA from 1 species